UACGUAGGUCCCGAGCGUUGUCCGGAUUUAUUGGGCGUAAAGCGAGCGCAGGUGGUUUAUUAAGUCUGGUGUAAAAGGCAGUGGCUCAACCAUUGUAUGCGUUGGAAACUGGUAGACUUGAGUGCAGGAGAGGAGAGUGGGAUUCCAUGUGUAGCGGUGAAAUGCGUAGAUAUAUGGAGGAACACCGGUGGCGAAAGCGGCCCUCUGGCCUGUAACUGACACUGAGGCUCGAAAGCGUGGGGAGCAAACAGG
rnacentral:rRNA from 1 species